rnacentral:rRNA from 1 species
UAAGGAAUAUUGGUCAAUGGACGCAAGUCUGAACCAGCCAUGCCGCGUGAAGGAUGAAGGUCCUCUGGAUUGUAAACUUCUUUUAUCUGGGACGAAAACGGGAUUUUUAUCUCAAUUGACGGUACCAGAGGAAUAAGCACCGGCUAACUCCGUGCCAGCAGCCGCGGUAAUACGGAGGGUGCGAGCGUUAUCCGGAUUUACUGGGUUUAAAGGGUGCGUAGGUGGGCUUAUAAGUCAGUGGUGAAAUCUCCGAGCUUAACUUGGAAACUGCCGUUGAUACUAUAGGUCUUGAAUUAUCUGGAGGUCAGCGGAAUAUGUCAUGUAGCGGUGAAAUGCUUAGAUAUGACAUAAAACACCAAUUGCGAAGGCAGCUUACUACAUAUAAAUUGACGCUGAGGCACGAAAGCGUGGGGAUCAAACA